UCCAAUCGAACUUGGAGAUAGCUGGUUCUCUCCGAAAUAGCUUUAGGGCUAGCCUCAAGUGAUGAUUAUUGGAGGUAGAGCACUGUUUGGACGAGGGGCCCCUCUCGGGUUACCGAAUUCAGACAAACUCCGAAUGCCAAUUAAUUUAACUUGGGAGUCAGAACAUGGGUGAUAAGGUCCGUGUUCGAAAGGGAAACAGCCCAGACCACCAGCUAAGGUCCCAAAAUAUAUGUUAAGUGGAAAAGGAUGUGGCGUUGCCCAGACAACUAGGAUGUUGGCUUAGAAGCAGCCAUCAUUUAAAGAGUGCGUAAUAGCUCACUAGUCGAGUGACACUGCGCCGAAAAUGUACCGGGGCUAAACAUAUUACCGAAGCUGUGGAUUGUCCUUUGGACAAUGGUAGGAGAGCGUUCUAAGGGCGUUGAAGCAUGAUCGCAAGGACAUGUGGAGCGCUUAGAAGUGAGAAUGCCGGUGUGAGUAGCGAAAGACGGGUGAGAAUCCCGUCCACCGAUUGACUAAGGUUUCCAGAGGAAGGCUCGUCCGCUCUGGGUUAGUCGGGUCCUAAGCUGAGGCCGACAGGCGUAGGCGAUGGAUAACAGGUUGAUAUUCCUGUACCACCUAUAAUCGUUUUAAUCGAUGGGGGGACGCAGUAGGAUAGGCGAAGCGUACGAUUGGAUUGUACGUCUAAGCAGUGAGAUUGAGUGUUAGGCAAAUCCGGCACUCUUAAGAUUGAGCUGUGAUGGGGAGAGGAAAUUGUUUCCUCGAGUCGUUGAUUUCACACUGCCGAGAAAAGCCUCUAGAUAGAGAUUAGGUGCCCGUACCGCAAACCGACACAGGUAGUCAAGAUGAGAAUUCUAAGGUGAGCGAGCGAACUCUCGUUAAGGAACUCGGCAAAAUGACCCCGUAACUUCGGGAGAAGGGGUGCUCUUUAGGGUGCAAGCCCAGAAGAGCCGCAGUGAAUAGGCCCAAGCGACUGUUUAUCAAAAACACAGGUCUCUGCUAAACCGUAAGGUGAUGUAUAGGGGCUGACGCCUGCCCGGUGCUGGAAGGUUAAGAGGAGUGGUUAGCUUCUGCGAAGCUACGAAUCGAAGCCCCAGUAAACGGCGGCCGUAACUAUAACGGUCCUAAGGUAGCGAA
rnacentral:rRNA from 1 species